rnacentral:lncRNA from 14 species
UAAUUAUAAUUUCUGAAGCUUCUCUUCUUCCUUUCCCACAUGUCAAGAUCUCAUAGCAACAAACAGUACUAGGAAGACAACCCCCUACCUUCUUCAGAGGGCUCCAUUUGCAUGUGAAGGAGAGAGUCCUCCCCUGCCCUGCAUGAGAUGCCCCAGCAAGAAGCACAGUCUCCUUCAGCUCUCUGCAGAUAUCCACAGCUCACAUAUGUGUAAAUUAUGCAUCAACAAACCCUACUCUAAAUACAGGCUGGGCUACAAUCAAGCAUUUAAACAUUUCAUCUGCAAGCGUAUAUUAAUGACUGCCAAAGGCAUUCAUGGUCUGAAGGAAGAUUCUCUUCUUAUUAGGUAGGGCUUGCACAGUUAUAUUAUGAAAAUGUCAUUACAGUAACCACUACACCCAAGUGAGAAACCCAAUCAAAAUAUGACUUGAGCUACAUUCUGCCACAUAAUUCACACAUUCACACAUAGUAAGCAACUUUGCAAAAAAUACCUCUCUCAGAACCAGAGAGUUGUUUCAGUUUUCGCCAGAUUUGAGUUUCUCAAACCAGAAGAAAAAUACUUCUGGAGAAGAACAAAUGCUGGCUUGCUGAUUUACAUGUGCAGCAGGUUAUAUUAAGAAAUAUAAUUGAGAAAAAGAAUUGCAGGCCCUAUUAGCUAUGUAAAGUCAAGCAUAAUAACUAUGUAUGUAAUUAAGAAAAUUUAAAAAAUAACAUGGUUUACUAAAGCUAUUUCUAAAAUCUCUGAAUCUUACUCUAGAGUUUAGUCUUGGUUUGCUUAUUUGCACAUUAAAAAUUUUUUUUU